AUUUGACAGUCGAUUUGCUGACAGGGGAGGAAUUUGCAUCCUGGAUUAAAAAAAAAAAAAAAAAAAGGCCGAGAGGAGCUUGGGAACGGUUGCUAGGGGUGGGUAAUGGGUGAAAAAAGGGGGGCGCCGGGGAGCGGAUAAGGAGGGUUAAGGGAGGGGGCGAGGGUGGGGAGCAAUGCAAAAGGUAAGGCCAGGUUACCGCGGCUCGGCCCCGAGUGGGCUGCGGCCGGGGGAGGGGCGAGAGAUACAUAUGUAUUUCUGUCUCCCUAGCACACCCCCUUCCCUCUAAGCGAUGGCUGAGAGGCGGUGCAUGCAGAUGGGGACUCUGCUCGCCCCUCAUCUCACCCCCCAGGCGAAGACUGGUCUUCUUGUCGGAUUGCCUAUGCACUUGUUGCAGAAACAGCCAAGGCCCUGGCUCUGGAGGAUGCUGAAAGAGGAAGACACAGAAGCAGGACGACCCUGAGAGAUUAAGCCUCUUAAUCGUGAAACAGAACCAGGCCUCCUCUCCCCACCUGCCCAGCAGCAUGAGAGCAGCAUGACUGGCCGGCCGCAGGAGAAGCCCCCAGAGCCAGGCCCCCAUCUCAACCAGCUGCUGCAGAAGUCAAGGUAAGCUCGUUCCCCUUCUCCUGGAAGGUGUGGGCAUUUUUCACUUGAACUAAUUUGCUAUGAUUUUAUAAUCAUUUGCCAUGUACUGGAAAAAGAGUGUUUACUGGGAUACGGGUAGACUGAAAAGGUGCAUGUCAGUCUAAUGGGGCAAAAUGUCUUUGUUUCGGUUAAUGGAGAAGCCAGUGAUGAAGCAGAAAGGACAGGGGAUUGAGUUUCUGGG
rnacentral:lncRNA from 1 species